CAGUUCGGAUUGCAGGCUGCAACUCGCCUGUAUGAAGUCGGAAUUGCUAGUAAUCGUGGAUCAGCAUGCCACGGUGAAUACGUUCCCGGGCCUUGUACACACCGCCCGUCACACCAUGAGAGCCGGGAACACCCGAAGUCCGUAGUCUAACCUAUAUGGAGGACGCGGCCGAAGGUGGGUUUGGUAAUUGGGGUGAAGUCGUAACAAGGUAUC
rnacentral:rRNA from 1 species